GCUCAUUCCACAAGCCCCUGGCCAGACACCAGAUAAGCAUUAAACAAUAUCUGGAUACUUUGCCUGUUUAACAAUUCUCACCACAUUCCAAUCUAUCUAGAAUACAAUAAAAUGGUUUGAGAUUCUCUUCUAAAAUAUACAAGUGCAAUGAAUGGGUGUUUACUAAUCCGAUAUUAGAAUUGCUAACCAUAUGAAAGCAGUUCUAUCACAUAUAUAUAUUCUGCUGUCUGGUUCCAACCAAGCUUUCCUUGUCCCCAACUCAACCAUCAGAGGAAUUUUGCUUGCAUGUUUUGUUUCAAGUCUCUGAUCUUUAGGCAAUAUCAUGGCCUUUUUUUAUGGUCCUUCUCUCAAUCUGUCCCAAUUAAGCUAGGAACUACUAUUCUUCUUUCAGGUCCAAAAUACUCCAGUAGAAGGCUACUUUACUGUUGUCUCACCCCAACCAAAUUAUCUUUCCCACCACCUCUACCAUGAGAGGAACCAUCCAUGGAUCAAACACAUGUUCUCUUAUAAGUAAACCUUAAAAAGACCAGGAUAUUCCUAGCAAUCUAUCUUUUCCUCCAAGACAAGACCC